rnacentral:rRNA from 1 species
CGGCCUUCGGGUUGUAAACCUCUUUCAGUAGGGAAGAAGCGAAAGUGACGGUACCUGCAGAAGAAGCGCCGGCUAACUACGUGCCAGCAGCCGCGGUAAUACGUAGGGCGCAAGCGUUAUCCGGAAUUAUUGGGCGUAAAGAGCUCGUAGGCGGUUUGUCGCGUCUGCCGUGAAAGUCCGGGGCUCAACUCCGGAUCUGCGGUGGGUACGGGCAGACUAGAGUGAUGUAGGGGAGACUGGAAUUCCUGGUGUAGCGGUGAAAUGCGCAGAUAUCAGGAGGAACACCGAUGGCGAAGGCAGGUCUCUGGGCAUUAACUGACGCUGAGGAGCGAAAGCAUGGGGAGCGAACAGGAUUAGAUACCCUGGUAGUCCAUGCCGUAAACGUUGGGCACUAGGUGUGGGGGACAUUCCACGUUUUCCGCGCCGUAGCUAACGCAUUAAGUGCCCCGCCUGGGGAGUACGGCCGCAAGGCUAAAACUCAAAGGAAUUGACGGGGGCCCGCACAAGCGGCGGAGCAUGCGGAUUAAUUCGAUGCAACGCGAAGAACCUUACCAAGGCUUGACAUGAACCGGUAACGCCUGGAGACAGGUGCCCCGCUUGCGGUCGGUUUACAGGUGGUGCAUGGUUGUCGUCAGCUCGUGUCGUGAGAUGUUGGGUUAAGUCCCGCAACGAGCGCAACCCUCGUUCUAUGUUGCCAGCACGUGA